rnacentral:snoRNA from 1 species
GUAGUUCUCAGCUAAAUUUACAGAUGAACAAAAACUACAACUUAUUUCACAAAAAGUAGCAACUUGUAAGAUGGGCUCUCAAGUGCUGGCACUCUGCUCUGCUAACUCCACAAGGUUCUCUGGCCCAGCAAGUAGAGUUUGAUAGUGAUCCUUGCCACAAAU